rnacentral:lncRNA from 1 species
AACGUGGGCCGCUCUAGUCUCCAGGCGGCGGUGCUCAGUGGUCGGUUACUGAGGGGCCUUGUGGCAACAAGGUGACAUAGGACAAACAGCACUCAGGCACUAGAACUACUUUAUGAGCAUAAUUCCUUGGACCAUAAUCGUCACCUGAGGAAGCCGCGUGAGACACCAGUCUUAGGAUUCCAAAGUGAAGAGGAACGUGCCCUCCUCGAUGAACGCCUGUGGAAGCCUUUGAGCAGCCCUUUCAUGGCGGAAGAGAGGGCAACUCUGAGGUGAUGGAGCAGCGGCUAGGCAGAGGGCUGCUGAGGAAGCAGAGGGAGGAUCGCUUCAGCUCUCGGCAGGCUGGAGCCUCAGAGCAAACCUCAAGUAACUUUCUGUGGAUGCUGUGAGGCUUCAUACCUUGCAAUCUUGGAUCUGGGACUAGGAAUUUACAUUCUGUAACUCCUGGGGAGGGCUGCUGGAGAGAUGACUGAGCAGUUAAGAGCACUUGUUGCUCUUGGCAGACGACCUGGCUUCUAGUCCUAGCACCACAUGGAGGCUGACCGCCAUCUGUAACUCUUCUUCUGACUAUGAAGAUACUGUGCAUACAUUGGCAUAUACACAAUCACAGGCAAAGCAUUCAGAUUCAAAAUAAAUGUCUAGAAAAGU